rnacentral:lncRNA from 1 species
GGUUGGUCCAAAAUUUUUGAAAUUUUUAUAUUUUUGUUAAAGGGUCAAAGUAAAUACUUUGACCAUAUUUUAUGAAAAUUAAACGAGCCAAAUUAAUGUUAGUGAAAGUGUUGGGUACCACCUUAAGAAUAUCUCUUCUCUAGAUUUUGUAACGUGUUUUUUUUUUAAUUUUAUUUAGAGUGCAGCAUUACAUGUAUUAUGGCUGGUCAUAUAUAGUUG